AUGGAAGUGGAACUGAAGCAAGUUGCUGUGAUGAGUAAUUAUUUGUCUCGCUCAUUCAUACAGGCUACCUGGGGGAGCUGUCGCAUAUUGUACGGUUAGAAUCAAGAAAAGAAAGAGAAAGAGAGUAUGCCUCACAUUUAUAUUUAUUUUAUUUGAUUAAAUAAGUUUUAUCUCCUUUGCUGCUCCUGCGGAUCCUGCUCCUCUGCAUAGUUUAAAUAUUGAUUUUUAAUUAUUUUAAGCAGCACCAAUGCCAAUACCGCAAAGUAUGCACUGCUCCCAGGCUGUGGCUCAUAAAUACCCACCUAUAAGUAUAUAUAGUUAGUAGUGCUCUUUCAUUUCGUCGCAUAUGUUUGAAGGGAAAACGUACUAGGAAUUUGAUUUGUUUCAAGCGGCGAGUAGAAAAGAAGCGCAGACCAGACCAGGCUACACAAUUACAAAAUGUUUUAGGUUUUUGGGGCCAUUUCUAGCAUGUGAGCGCGAU